rnacentral:rRNA from 1 species
AACGAACGCUGGCGGCAUGCCUAACACAUGCAAGUCGAACGAGACCUUCGGGUCUAGUGGCGCACGGGUGCGUAACGCGUGGGAACCUGCCCUUAGGUUCGGAAUAACUCCCCGAAAGGGGUGCUAAUACCGGAUAAUGUCUUCGGACCAAAGAUUUAUCGCCUUUGGAUGGGCCCGCGUUGGAUUAGCUAGUUGGUAGGGUAAAAGCCUACCAAGGCGACGAUCCAUAGCUGGUCUGAGAGGAUGAUCAGCCACACUGGGACUGAGACACGGCCCAGACUCCUGCGGGAGGCAGCAGUGGGGAAUAUUGGACAGUGGGCGAAAGCCUGAUCCAGCAAUGCCGCGUGAGUGAUGAAGGCCUCAGGGUUGUAAAGCUCUUUUACCCGGGAUGAUAAUGACAGUACCGGGAGAAUAAGCUCCGGCUAACUCCGUG